rnacentral:rRNA from 1 species
UAGGGAAUCUUCCGCAAUGGGCGAAAGCUUGACGGAGCAACGCCGCGUGAGUGAUGAAGGUCUUCGGAUCGUAAAACUCUGUUAUUAGGGAAGAACAAAUGUGUAAGUAACUAUGCACGUCUUGACGGUACCUAAUCAGAAAGCCACGGCUAACUACGUGCCAGCAGCCGCGGUAAUACGUAGGUGGCAAGCGUUAUCCGGAAUUAUUGGGCGUAAAGCGCGCGUAGGCGGUUUUUUAAGUCUGAUGUGAAAGCCCACGGCUCAACCGUGGAGGGUCAUUGGAAGCUGGAAAACUUGAGUGCAGAAGAGGAAAGUGGAAUUCCAGGUGUAGCGGUGAAAUGCGCAGAGAUAUGGAGGAACACCAGUGGCGAAGGCGACUUUCUGGUCUGUAACUGACGCUGAUGUGCGAAAGCGUGGGGAUCAAACAGG